GACGAACGCUGGCGGCGUGCCUAAUACAUGCAAGUCGAGCGAGACUCUUCGGAGUCUAGCGGCGGACGGGUGAGUAACACGUGGGCAACCUGCCUGUAAGACUGGGAUAACACCGGGAAACCGGUGCUAAUACCGGAUAAUCCUUUUCCUCUCAUGAGGAAAAGCUGAAAGUCGGUUUCGGCUGACACUUACAGAUGGGCCCGCGGCGCAUUAGCUAGUUGGUGAGGUAACAGCUCACCAAGGCGACGAUGCGUAGCCGACCUGAGAGGGUGAUCGGCCACACUGGGAAUGAGACACGGCCCAGACUCCUACGGGAGGCAGCAGUAGGGAAUCUUCCACAAUGGACGAAAGUCUGAUGGAGCAACGCCGCGUGAGCGAUGAAGGCCUUCGGGUCGUAAAGCUCUGUUGUUAGGGAAGAACAAGUACCGGAGUAACUGCCGUUACCUUGACGGUACCUAACCAGAAAGCCACGGCUAACUACGUGCCAGCCGCCGCCGUAAAAC
rnacentral:rRNA from 1 species